rnacentral:rRNA from 3 species
ACGACUCUCGGCAACGGAUAUCUCGGCUCACGCAUCGAUGAAGAACGUAGCAAAAUGCGAUACUUGGUGUGAAUUGCAGAAUCCCGUGAACCAUCGAGUUUUUGAACGCAAGUUGCGCCCGAAGCCUUUUGGCUGAGGGCACGUCUGCCUGGGCGUCACG